UUUUAAACUUUGAUGGUGUGUAGGGUCUUUUUGUUUGUCUAUGCAUUUUCCAAGUGAAUUUUAGUACUUUUGAUUUUUCUAUUGAUAUUUUGUUUAUUCUUGCUAUUGAGUUGCUUUGAUUGAAGGAUAGAGGGAAGUGAUUAUUGAUAAUUAUAGGAUUUUAGGCAAAAGAAGUGAAGCUUGAUGAUUUAAUGUUUACACGAGGAGACAAGUUCAACCAAUGUUGCGACAAGCAAGCAAGCUAGGGAAUAUGAGGCACUAACAGACAAAUUUGGUUGGCGCGAAAGUCAGAUAAAAGGACGUCUGCGCAACAUUGAUACAACUUUUCAGAACAUUAAUUAUGCGUGGGAUGUUAUGUCAACAUCACUCCUCGCCCAUCUUCUCCCUUUCCUGAGUUUUAGUUGAGAGUUUAGAACACAAGAGAGAGAGAGUUCAUCCCAUCCAUCUUUCCUCUCACCGCAUAGGCAAAAAAUCAGAGCCAAAGAGGAUGAGAAAUCAUAUUUUGAGGCGUAACACCUUCUUCUGUAUUUCAUUUUGUAUUUUUAUUGUAUUGUUUUAUAAGAUGUACCUCAUGGCCAAGAGGCCAAAGGUUAUUUUAUUAAGAGCAAUGCAUUUCUUCUUCCAUUCCCCAAAAUUUCGGUUGCUUUUCAUAUUCAAUAUGUUUGACUAACUUACUAGUAA